GACGAACGCUGGCGGCGUGCUUAACACAUGCAAGUCGAACGGUGAAGCCCUUCGGGUGGAGCAGUGGCGAACGGGUGAGUAACACGUGGGCAAUCUGCCCUGCACUCUGGGACAAGCCCUGGAAACGGGGUCGUAAUACCGGAUAUUACUACAGGGGCGAUCUUCUGUGGUGGAAAGCUCCGGCGGUGCAGGAGUGAGCUCGCGGCCUAUCAGCUUGUUGGUGGGGUGGAUGGCCUACCAAGGCGACGACGGGUAGCCGGGCCUGAGAGGGCGACCGGGCCACACUGGGACUGAGACACGGCCCAGACUCCUACGGGA
rnacentral:rRNA from 1 species